UGGGGAAUAUUGCGCAAUGGAGGGAACUCUGACGCAGCAACGCCGCGUGAAGGAUGAAGGUUUUCGGAUUGUAAACUUCUUUGAUCGGGGACGAAAAUGACGGUACCCGAGGAACAAGCCACGGCUAACUACGUGCCAGCAGCCGCGGUAAUACGUAGGUGGCAAGCGUUGUCCGGAAUUACUGGGUGUAAAGGGCGCGUAGGCGGGAGAACAAGUCAGAUGUGAAAUCCCAGGGCUUAACUCUGGAGCUGCAUCUGAAACUGUUUUUCUUGAGUACUGGAGAGGAAAGUGGAAUUCCUAGUGUAGCGGUGAAAUGCGUAGAGAUUAGGAGGAACACCAGUGGCGAAGGCGGCUUUCUGGACAGUAACUGACGCUGAUGCGCGAAAGCGUGGGGAGCAAACAGG
rnacentral:rRNA from 2 species